rnacentral:sRNA from 1 species
UAUUCUGCCCUACGGGGAAGGAUGAGAAGCUUCGACCAAGGUUCGACUCGAGCGUCAGCGAGAGAACGUUGCCGCAGGCAACGGCCCGAAGGGCGAGGAGCGAUAGCGACGAGUUAUCCUUCCCCCACCACCA